rnacentral:tRNA from 1 species
GGAGGGAUCGCAUAGUGGUCUAGUGCGCCCGCUUGGAAAGCGGGUAGGGUGCAAGCUCUCGGGAGUUCGAAUCUCCCUCCCUCCGCCA